AUUGAACGCUGGCGGCAGGCCUAACACAUGCAAGUCGAACGAGUGGCGGACGGGUGAGUAAUGUCUGGGAAACUGCCCGAGGGAGGGGGAUAACUACUGGAAACGGUAGCUAAUACCGCAUACCAUCGGAUGUGCCCAGAUGGGAUUAGCUUGUAGGGGAGGGAACGGCUCACCUAGGCGACGAUCCCUAGCUGGUCUGAGAGGAUGACCAGACACACUGUACAUGAGACACGGUCCAGACUCCUACGGGAGGCAGCAGUGGGGAAUAUUGCACAAUGGGCGCAAUCCUGAUGCAGCCAUGCCGCGGGUAUGAAGAAGGCCUUCGUUUUGUAAAGUAAUUUCAGCGGGGAGUCGUUACCCGCAGAAGAAGCACCGGCUAACUCCGUGCCAGCAGACGCGGUAAUAC
rnacentral:rRNA from 1 species